rnacentral:rRNA from 1 species
UACGUAGGGGGCUAGCGUUGUCCGGAAUCAUUGGGCGUAAAGCGCGUGUAGGCGGCCCGGUAAGUCCGCUGUGAAAGUCGGGGGCUCAACCCUCGGAUGCCGGUGGAUACUGUCGGGCUCGAGUACGGAAGAGGCGAGUGGAAUUCCUGGUGUAGCGGUGAAAUGCGCAGAUAUCAGGAGGAACACCAAUGGCGAAGGCAGCUCGCUGGAACGGUACUGACGCUGAGGCGCGAAAGCGUGGGGAGCGAACAGG